UACGUAGGGUGCGAGCGUUGUCCGGAAUUAUUGGGCGUAAAGAGAACGUAGGUGGUUAAUUAAGUUCGGUCUUAAAGACCGGGGCUCAACCCCGGGAAUGGACUGAAGACUGGUUGACUAGAGGAUGUUAGAGGACGGUGGAAUUCCCAGUGUAGCGGUGAAAUGCGUAGAUAUUGGGAGGAACACCAGUGGCGAAAGCGGCCGUCUGGAACAUUCCUGACACUGAGGUUCGAAAG
rnacentral:rRNA from 1 species